rnacentral:lncRNA from 1 species
GUGGCUCAGUUUUUGCUGAUGGUGCGGAAGGCUUCGUGCGGUAACCCAGAGAACAGAACCCACGAAGAGAGAGAACACGCGAUGCUGAGAAGAGUAGGAGCAUGGAGGCUCCUGGACAGCGGACAAAAGUCGCUUCAGGGGUUCAGGGGGAUCUUCUUAGAGAGAGAGCUUUUGUGAGGGAGAGCUUCCUGUGAGGGAGAAAUUGGAGGUACGAGAGUUGAGGGUG